GAUGAAGAACGUAGCGAAAUGCGAUAAGUAAUGUGAAUUGCAGAAUUCAGUGAAUCAUCGAAUCUUUGAACGCACAUUGCGCCCGCCAGUAUUCUGGCGGGCAUGCCUGUUCGAGCGUCAUUUCAACCAUCAAGCCCCCGGGCUUGUGUUGGGGACCUGCGGCUGCCGCAGGCCCUGAAAAGCAGUGGCGGGCUCGCUGUCACACCGAGCGUAGUAGAUUUUAUCUCGCUCUGGGCGUGCUGCGGGUUCCGGCCGUUAAACCACCCUUUUAACCCAAGGUUGACCUCGGAUCAGGUAGGAAGACCCGCUGAACUUAAGCAUAUCAAUAACGGAGGA
rnacentral:misc_RNA from 1 species